rnacentral:rRNA from 1 species
GACAGAGGUGCCAAGCGUUAGGCGGAAUCACUGGGCUUAAAGCGUGUGUAGGCGGGCGAUCAAGUACCUUGUGAAAUCCCACGGCUCAACCGUGGAACUGCUGGGUAUACUGGUUGUCUUGAGCCAGCUAGGGGCGAGCGGAACAGACGGUGGAGCGGUGAAAUGCGUAGAUAUCAGGAGGAACACCAGCAGCGAAGGCGGUGGUCUGGGCCGACAUUGACGCUGAGGAGCGAAAGCGUGGGGAGCGAACAGG